rnacentral:lncRNA from 1 species
CUUACUCAUCAGUGCCCAAGAAAAAUAGCUUUAAUGUGAGACAGUUGUAUGAUGGUACAGAUAGUGCCAGUAUAUGCAACGAAGAAAGUUCAGGUUUCACCAAAAUUUUGCAAAAUUUCGGGGUUUAAAAAUCUGUUUAUCGCAGAAGUCACAUUGACUGUCUCACAUUUACUCUUCCUCGUGUCCUGAUCCUGCUGACUUGUCCACAUGGGCAACUACGAAGCUGGCACAACUAUACUUCUUUGUUCACUUUGGUCACCACCAUUUGUUCUGCUGUUGGGCUGCCCAUGUGUAGGCAGGUUUCACGAAAAUAUCAGGUUCCCUAAGCAACAUGAACUGGGAGGCUCAGAGAGGGAUUUCCCUAGUCACUGACUUACUGAGGGAUUGACUCAAGAUUCCCAGGCACUAGACAGAAGCAGUCGGGAAAGGAAUCAUUUCCUGAUUGCCUGUGGGGGAAAAAGAAACUUUUUUGGAUAGAACAGUCUGGAUGGACUCUAACACAGUAAAAAGUGAAGGCAGUGCAUUCUUCAGAAGGGCGGCAGAUGGGGCACCACGCAUCCCCACAGAGGGGCUGUCCUGCGGUCCUUGCAGGAGUUGCCAGGCUCCCAAAAUCUCCUCCUGCUGCUAUCCCCACCCUGCCUGAAAAGAGGUGAGGAGGAUGAUGGGGAGGGAGUCAAACAGACUUGGGAUAGGAGGAGUGAGUGCGCUGGUAAAACCAAUUACUUAGCUAAACCUUUGGCUAAAACUCUAGGAAGGGAGGCACAAAAUGGGAAAGUGUGGGUUUUUUUUUUUUGCUUCUCUAGGUGAAGGUUUAAAUUAACUUCAGCAUGGGUAAAACUAUUCUUUCCUUCUUUUUUCUCUCCCAGAGUUCUCACCACCUCCUCCCAGGCUAAAUCCUUCAUGUUGCAGGAGACAGAGAAUCCCAGGAGCCAUGGCUAUCAACCUGGAGAGAGGCC